rnacentral:lncRNA from 10 species
GUCACAAGCUGACCACAUCAGAUGCUCUCUUUCGGGACUUUGGGACUGAGAAAGAGAGAGCCCAAGUACCUGGAGUUAACACCCACAGAGGGCACACAGUGGGGGCUGGCUGAAGGACUGUGGUGCAUCCAGGCGGCAGGGCACUAUGCGCCAUGAGAACAAGCCAAUGUGACAUACGCCGACAGGCAGACGCCCAGGAUGGGGAUGAGAACACAGCCGGUGGCAGACCAACCCCGUGGGAAAAACGGAGGUCACCAACUGCACAGCCACCUGCUUCCAAACGUCACACUCCCUGCCUCGAGCGCUCACUUCUACCUUACUCAAAUGGUAGCUAUUACAGGAACAUGAGUUAUUUUGUUUUAAAAAUACUAAUAAAGAAAAUAAAACUUUAAAAGUUUCCUGGCUGGGCGUCGGGGCUCACUCCUGUAAUCCCAGCACUUCGGGAGGCUGAGGCGGGCAGUUCCCUUGAGCCCUAGAGUGCGAGACCAGCCUGGGUAACACAGCAAAACCCAGGAUCUACAAAAUAUAAAAAACAAAAAAUUAGCUGGGCAUGUUGGUGUGCACCUGUUCCAGCUACUUGGAGGCUGAGGUGGGAGGAUCACUUGAACCUGGGAGGUCGAGGUUGCAGUGAGCUAUGAUUGCACCACUGCAUCCCAGCCUGGGUGACAGAGCGAGACCCUGUCUCAAAAAAUAAAAAAAAACAACAAAAAAGUUUCUCAAGAGGGUAUGGGGACGUUGCCCAGUCCCCCCAGUCGGAAGGGCCAGUGGGUGGAGUUGGGCUCACUGGCCUCUGGAGGGUCCCUAGCAGGCCACCCCACCUCAGUUAAGUCGGGACUGGGGAGCCCCAUCCUGGGUACUCUGUGCAGGAAAGGGGGUCCCACCCACAACCCACACUCACCCUGGAAGGCAGAGCCUCUUCUCCCAUAAAGCCUGGCCCAGCCUGGAGCUGAAGCCCGGGGCCGCCACCUGAGAGGGCUUGGUUCUGUCUGUAGAGCAGGGGUCUGAAUAGCCUGGUGCCCUGGACCAGGUGACCCGGCUCUGUGCACUGCACCUGCUCCUAUCACUGAACUCUCCCACAAGGCGGGGACAGACGAAGAAACUGAGGCUUGAUGAGUGACCCCACUGCAGAGCCCCACCGUGGGUAGGGUGCCCCGACCUGCACUCUGGCUGCUGGGCUCCACGGCCCAGCUGUGUGCCCUGAGUGGUAUCCUGGGGACGAUGCCACACAAAGCCUGCGGAGCCGUACCGUGCCUGACACCUGGGAAGCCCCAGGCCAGCGGUUAGUUACCACAAGGGCUGGCACAGCCCAAGCCUGAUGCCUCCCUUGACCGCCAGCCCCACGCAGCACUCAGCCACACGGAGCUCCAUGAGAUGCCUGCC